GGGGACGUUACGGAUUCGACAGGGGUAAUCAGAGCUUAAGCUGCGAGUCGGAGGGAUCGUCUCCGUCAUCAACGUCAACUUAAAUAUAACUGGCAAACAAAACAAUUACGCUUUAGCUGCUUAAUUGCGCUAAAGGCUCCUCCUUCCAUCGCCCAUGUGGAAGUCGAGGGGUUCAUCUGAAGUGGGCUACGCCGGAUUCCGCCGCCUGAGGAUGAAGGAAGAGACCAAUCAGGCUAGCUCGUCCGAAGCCCGUCGACAGGCCGACGAUAGAGCGAAACACAAUAUGUCGACUACACUCGUAGACGCUUAAGUGGUGAUACCUUUGGACGUGGGUUCGACUCCCACCGUCUCCAUUG
rfam:Bacillus smithii strain DSM 4216, complete genome.